CAGUAGCCGCGGUAAAACGUAGGGUGCAAGCGUUAAUCGGAAUUACUGGGCGUAAAGCGUGCGCAGGCGGUUUGUUAAGACAGAUGUGAAAUCCCCGGGCUUAACCUGGGAACUGCAUUUGUGACUGGCAAGCUAGAGUAUGGCAGAGGGGGGUGGAAUUCCGCGUGUAGCAGUGAAAUGCGUAGAUAUGCGGAGGAACACCGAUGGCGAAGGCAGCCCCCUGGGCCAAUACUGACGCUCAUGCACGAAAGCGUGGGGAGCAAACAGGAUUAGAUACCCCGGUAGUCCCUGUCUCUUAUAA
rnacentral:rRNA from 1 species